GUGUGUCCCCAAGUGUCCCUGUCCCCUGUCUGGCUGUCCCAGAUGACUCCAUGUCCGGUCUGGGUGUCCCCAGGUGACCCCAUGCCGUGUCUGUGUGUCCCCAAGUGUCCCUGUCCCCUGUCUGUGUGUCCCCAAAUGUCCCCGUCCCCUGUCUGUGUGUCCUCAGGUGACCCUGUGUCCAGUCUGGGUGUCCCCAGGUGCCCCCAUGUCCGGUCUGGGUGUCCCCAAAUGUCCCCAUCCCCUGUCUGUGUGUCCCCAGGUGACCCCAUGCCAUGUCCGUGUGUCCCCAGGUGUCCCUGUCCGUGUGUCCCCAUGUGCCCCUGUCCCUGUCCGUGUGUCCCCAGCUGUCCCUUUGUCCCCAGUCGCCCUCCCGCGGUUGUGGCCGCGUGUCCCCAGCUGACCCCGCUCUGCGCUGUCACUCCCGGUGUCAGGUGACCCCUGGUGGCCCCGCUGUGUCCCCGCAGUGUCCCCAUGUCCCCGUGUCCCCUCGGGGCUCCGCUGUCACCUCUGCUGCGUGUCCCCGGUGGCCUCCUGCUGUCCCCAUGGGUGCUCAUUGCCCCAUAAGUGCCUCAUUGUCCCCACAGGUGCCAUGUGUCCCCAGUGGGUGCCUCGUUGUCCCCAGUGGGUGCUCAUUGUCCCCAUGGGUGCCCAUUGUCCCCCUUAGUGCCUCAUUGUCCCCAUGGGUGCCCAUUGUCCCCCUUAGUGCCUCAUUGUCCCCAUGGGUGCCCAUUGUCCCC
rnacentral:lncRNA from 1 species